rnacentral:rRNA from 1 species
AGUGAACGCUGGCGGUAGGCCUAACACAUGCAAGUCGAACGGCAGCACAGUAAGAGCUUGCUCUUACGGGUGGCGAGUGGCGGACGGGUGAGGAAUACAUCGGAAUCUACUUUUUCGUGGGGGAUAACGUAGGGAAACUUACGCUAAUACCGCAUACGACCUACGGGUGAAAGCAGGGGAUCUUCGGACCUUGCGCGAUUGAAUGAGCCGAUGUCGGAUUAGCUAGUUGGCGGGGUAAAGGCCCACCAAGGCGACGAUCCGUAGCUGGUCUGAGAGGAUGAUGACCCACAUUGGAGAUGAACCACGGCACAGACACUGAGGGACGGCCGAAGGGGGGAAUGUUGGAAAAAGGGGGGAAUACUGAACCAGCCGAUGCGGGGGGGUGAAGAAGGCCCUCGGGUUGUAAAACCCUUUUCUGGGGAAAAAAAGCCAGCGGGUUAAACCCAGGGUGUUUGGAGGGAACCAAAAAAAAAAGCCCCGGUAAACUCGGG